ACCAGGACCUAAGUGUCACAUUAUUGCAGCAGAAGUAUGUUAACAAUAGCCUCCCCGCCAGGCUGGAUAGAGACCUAGAAGUGAGUACAUCACAGUGAGGCAGGUUAACCAAACGGAAAUUCAGCCUCUUCCGGAAAUACCAGUCCGAUUUUUAAAGCCACUUUGCUGAUUGCUGUAAUCAUAAAAGGCGUUGUCUCCCACACCCUCCCCUUGUCCCAGGGCUGCCUGAGAACUGAUUGCUCCCAGCAGCCCCACAGGGAAAGGGCCAUUACUAUCUCCACGACACAGAGCAGCUGGGUCAUCUGCCCAAGGACAGACAGAUGACAGUGUCUCGCUAAGUUGCCCAGCCUGGCCUCCAAACUUGGAAUCCUCCUGCCUCAGUCUCCCGAGCAGUUGGGAUUACAGGAGCGGGCCACCCACACCUGGCUACUCUAUUUUUCUUUGAAGAAGAAAAUGUCAAGAUACAGGGUGGUAUUUCCAGGUAAGACCCUGUGUUGUGGGUCGACAAAGAUAUGCCCACCUGGAAACUGUGAACGUGACCUGAUGUAGGCAAAGGAUUUUUUUUGCAAAUGUAAAUAACUUAAAGGUCCGGAGAUGAACUCCCCAGAAUUAGAAUGGUUCUUAAAUCCAACCCAAGCAUCUUUAUAAGAGAAGGAAGGAUAGUCUAAGGAGAAAGCCACGAAGCUACAAGCCAAGGGUCAUCGCGGACGGCCAGCAGACACUAAAAGCCAGGAGAGACCCAGAACAACUGUCUCUCAGAGGCGACAGAAGGAACCAACACUGUCCACACCAGGAUCCUAAACUUCGGGCCACCAAAACUGGAAGGCACAUUUGCACAAGUUCUUAAGCAUCCUUCAUCCCCAAAUCCAAAAUCUCAAAUGCUCAAACCUCCAACAUUUUUGAACCCUGACAUGACACUGCAGGUGGAAAAUUCCACACCAUGAAACUUUGCUAAAUCAUAAUAAAAUUAUUGAAGAUA